rnacentral:rRNA from 1 species
CAUGCUCAGAGCGAACAGAUAAGGAGCUUGCUCCUUUGACGUUAGCGGCGGACGGGUGAGUAACACGUGGGUAACCUACCUAUAAAACUGGAAUAACUCCGGGAAACCGGGGCUAAGGCCGGAUAACAUUUAAAACCGCAGGGUUCUAAAGUGAAAGAUGGUUUUGCUAUCACUUAUAGAUGGACCCGCGCCGUAUUACCUAGUUGGUAAGGUAAGGGCUUACCAGGGCAACGAUACGUACCCAACCUGAGAGGGUGAUCGGCCACACUGGAACUGAAACACGGUCCAAACUCCUACGGGAGGCAGCAGUAGGGAAUCUUCCGCAAUGGGCGAAAGCCUGACGGAGCAACCCCGCGUGAGUGAUGAAGGGUUUCGGCUCGUAAAACUCUGUUAUUAGGGAAAAACAAACGUGUAAGUAACUGUGCACGUCUUGACGGUACCUAAUCAAAAAGCCACGGCUAACUACGUGCCAGCACCCGCGGUAAUACGUAGGUGGCAAGCGUUAUCCGGAAUUAUUGGGCGUAAAGCGCGCGUAGGCGGUUUCUUAAGUCUGAUGUGAAAGCCCACGGCUCACCCGUGGAGGGUCAUUGGAAACUGGGAGACUUGAGUGCAAAAGAGGAAAGUGGAAUUCCAUGUGUAGCGGUGAAAUGCGCAGAGAUAUGGAGGAACACCAGUGGCGAGGGCGACUUUCUGGUCUGUAACUGACGCUGAUGUGCGAAAGCGUGGGGAUCAAACAGGAUUAGAUACCCUGGUAGUCCACGCCGUAAACGAUGAGUGCUA